CAGAGUUGCAAAACUCCCAAAACCAUUGUGAACGUUACCAAAAAUCGUUGCUUCGGCGGGCGGCACUACCCGGUGCCUCCCCUCCUAAACCAGGGGCCUUAGCAGGCGCCCGCCGGAGGCUUAUAACUCUUGUAUUCUUGCACGGCCUCUCUGAGUCUCUGUACUUUAAUAAGUCA
rnacentral:misc_RNA from 1 species